rnacentral:rRNA from 1 species
AUUGAACGCUGGCGGCAGGCCUAACACAUGCAAGUCGAGCGGAUGAAGGGAGCUUGCUCCUGGAUUCAGCGGCGGACGGGUGAGUAAUGCCUAGGAAUCUGCCUGGUAGUGGGGGAUAACGUCCGGAAACGGGCGCUAAUACCGCAUACGUCCUGAGGGAGAAAGUGGGGGAUCUUCGGGCCUCACGCUAUCAGAUGAGCCUAGGUCGGAUUAGCUAGUUGGUGGGGUAAAGGCUUACCAAGGCGACGAUCCGUAACUGGUCUGAGAGGAUGAUCAGUCACACUGGAACUGAGACACGGUCCAGACUCCUACGGGAGGCAGCAGUGGGGAAUAUUGGACAAUGGGCGAAAGCCUGAUCCAGCCAUGCCGCGUGUGUGAAGAAGGUCUUCGGAUUGUAAAGCACUUUAAGUUGGGAGGAAGGGCAGUAAGUUAAUACCUUGCUGUUUUGACGUUACCAACAGAAUAAGCACCGGCUAACUUCGUG